rnacentral:rRNA from 1 species
UACGAAGGACCCGAGCGUUAUCCGGAUUUAUUGGGUUUAAAGGGUGCGUAGGCGGACAUGCAAGUCAGUGGUGAAAUCUCUCUGCUCAACAGAGAAACUGCCAUUGAAACUAUGUGUCUUGAGUACAUUUGAGGCGGGCGGAAUGUGUCAUGUAGAGGUGAAAUUCUUAGAUAUGACACAGAACACCAAUUGCGAAGGCAGCUCGCUAAACUGUAACUGACGCUGAGGCACGAAAGCGUGGGGAUCAAACAGGAUUAGAUACCCUGGUAGUCCACGCCCUAAACGAUGAUUACUCGAAGUGUGCGAUACACAGCACGCCUCUGAGCGAAAGCAUUAAGUAAUCCACCUGGGAAGUACGACCGCAAGGUUGAA